rnacentral:rRNA from 1 species
UACGUAGGGACCGAGCGUUGUCCGGAAUCAUUGGGCGUAAAGAGCGUGUAGGCGGCUAUUUAAGUCCUGCGUGAAAUCCUGCGGCUCAACCGCAGACGGUCGUGGGAAACUGGAUGGCUAGAGUGCGGGAGAGGAGAGUGGAAUUCCCGGUGUAGCGGUGAAAUGCGCAGAUAUCGGGAGGAAUACCCGUGGCGAAGGCGGCCCCCUGGGCCGAACCUGACGCUGAGGCGCGAAGGCUAGGGGAGCGAACGGG